rnacentral:rRNA from 1 species
AUUGAACGCUGGCGGCAUGCUUUACACAUGCAAGUCGAACGGCAGCACGGGUGCUUGCACCUGGUGGCGAGUGGCGAACGGGUGAGUAAUGCAUCGGAACGUGCCCAUGAGUGGGGGAUAGCCCGGCGAAAGCCGGAUUAAUACCGCAUACGCCCUUAGGGGGAAAGCGGGGGAUCUUCGGACCUCGCGCUAUUGGAGCGGCCGAUGUCGGAUUAGUUAGUAGGUGGGGUAAAGGCUCACCUAGGCGACGAUCCGUAGCUGGUCUGAGAGGAUGAUCAGCCACACUGGAACUGAGACACGGUCCAGACUCCUACGGGAGGCAGCAGUGGGGAAUUUUGGACAAUGGGCGCAAGCCUGAUCCAGCCAUGCCGCGUGAGUGAAGAAGGCCUCGGUUGUAAG